GAGUUUGAUCAUGGCUCAGAGCGAACGCUGGCGGCAGACUUAACACAUGCAAGUCGAACGGGCGUAGCAAUACGUCAGUGGCAGACGGGUGAGUAACGCGUGGGAACGUACCCUUUGGUUCGGAACAACUGAGGGAAACUUCAGCUAAUACCGGAUAAGCCCUUACGGGGAAAGAUUUAUCGCCGAAAGAUCGGCCCGCGUCUGAUUAGCUAGUUGGUGAGGUAAGAGCUCACCAAGGCGACGAUCAGUAGCUGGUCUGAGAGGAUGAUCAGCCACAUUGGGACUGAGACACGGCCCAAACUCCUACGGGAGGCAGCAGUGGGGAAUAUUGGACAAUGGGCGCAAGCCUGAUCCAGCCAUGCCGCGUGAGUGAUGAAGGCCCUAGGGUUGUAAAGCUCUUUUGUGCGGGAAGAUAAUGACGGUACCGCAAGAAUAAGCCCCGGCUAACUUCGUGCCAGCAGCCGCGGUAAUACGAAGGGGGCUAGCGUUGCUCGGAAUCACUGGGUGUAAAGGGUGCGUAGGCGGGUCUUUAAGUCAGGGGUGAAAUCCUGGAGCUCAACUCCAGAACUGCCUUUGACACUGAGGAUCUUGAGUUCGGGAGAGGUGAGUGGGACUGCGAGUGUAGAGGUGAAAUUCGUAGAUAUUCGCAAGAACACCAGUGGCGAAGGCGGCUCACUGGCCCGAUACUGACGCUGAGGCACGAAAGCGUGGGGAGCAAACAGGAUUAGAUACCCUGGUAGUCCACGCCGUAAACGAUGAAUGCCAGCCGUUGGGGAGGUUACUCUUCAGUGGCGCAGCUAACGCUUUAAGCAUUCCGCCUGGGGAGUACGGUCGCAAGAUUAAAACUCAAAGGAAUUGACGGGGGCCCGCACAAGCGGUGGAGCAUGUGGUUUAAUUCGACGCAACGCGCAGGACCUUACCAGCCCUUGACAUGUCUAUGACCGGUACCAGAGAUGGAACCUUCCCUUCGGGGCAUAGAGCACAGGUGCUGCAUGGCUGUCGUCAGCUCGUGUCGUGGGAUGUUGGGUUAAGUCCCGCAACGAGCGCAACCCCCGUCCUUAGUUGCUACCAUUUAGUUGAGCACUCUAAGGAGACUGCCGGUGAUAAGCCGCGAGGAAGGUGGGGAUGACGUCAAGUCCUCAUGGCCCUUACGGGCUGGGCUACACACGUGCUACAAUGGCGGUGACAAUGGGACGCUAAGGAGCAAUCCUUCGCAAAUCUCAAAAAGCCGUCUCAGUUCGGAUUGGGCUCUGCAACUCGAGCCCAUGAAGUUGGAAUCGCUAGUAAUCGUGGAUCAGCAUGCCACGGUGAAUACGUUCCCGGGCCUUGUACACACCGCCCGUCACACCAUGGGAGUUGGUUUUACCUGAAGGUAGUGCGCUAACCCGCAAGGGGGGCAGCUAACCACGGUAGGGUCAGCGACUGGGGUGAAGUCGUAACAAGGU
rnacentral:rRNA from 1 species